GCCCGGGUUAGGGACUGGCAGGCCCGUCCCCCUGGGUCUCACAGUGUCCCAUGCCAGAGAAAACUGGCCCCGGACUGUUGCCCAGUCUCUGCCCGUCGGCUGCAGGCACUGAAGUGGGUUAAACUGGC
ensembl:snoRNA